rnacentral:rRNA from 1 species
AGAGUUUGAUCCUUGCUCAGGAUGACGCUGGCGGUUUGCUUAACACAUGCAAGUCGAACGGUCUCUUCGGAGAUAGUGGCGGACGGGUGAGUAACGCGUGAGGAUCUGCCUUAGGAGGGGAACAACAGUUGGAAACGACUGCUAAUGCCCCAUAUGCCGAGAGGUGAAACGGUUAAUUCCGCUGAGGAUGAACUCGCGUCUGAUUAGCUAGUUGGUGGGGUAACGGCCCACCAAGGCGACGAUCAGUAGCUGGUCUAAGAGGAUGAUCAGCCACACUGGGACCGAGACACGGCCCAGACUCCUACGGGAGGCAGCAGUGGGGAAUUUUCCGCAAUGGGCGAAAGCCUGACGGAGCAAUACCGCGUGAGGGAGGAAGGCUCUUGGGUUGUAAACCUCUUUUCUCAGGGAAGAAAAAAAUGACGGUACCUGAGGAAUAAGCAUCGGCUAACUCCGUGCCAGCAGCCGCGGUAAUACGGAGGAUGCAAGCGUUAUCCGGAAUGAUUGGGCGUAAAGGGUCCGCAGGUGGCUAUGUAAGUCUGCUGUUAAAGAACCUAGCUUAACUAGGUAAAAGCAGUGGAAACUACAAGGCUAGAGUGCGUUCGGGGUAGAGGGAAUUCCUGGUGUAGCGGUGAAAUGCGUAGAUAUCAGGAAGAACACCAGUGGCGAAGGCGCUCUACUAGGCCGCAACUGACACUGAGGGACGAAAGCUAGGGGAGCGAAUGGGAUUAGAUACCCCAGUAGUCCUAGCCGUAAACGAUGAAUACUAGGCGUGGCUUGUAUCGACCCGAGCCGUGCCGAAGC